rnacentral:rRNA from 1 species
UAGGGAAUCUUCCGCAAUGGGCGAAAGCCUGACGGAGCAACGCCGCGUGAGUGAUGAAGGUCUUCGGAUCGUAAAACUCUGUUAUUAGGGAAGAACAAAUGUGUAAGUAACUAUGCACGUCUUGACGGUACCUAAUCAGAAAGCCACGGCUAACUACGUGCCAGCAGCCGCGGUAAUACGUAGGUGGCAAGCGUUAUCAGGAAUUAUUGGGCGUAAAGCGCGCGUAGGCGGUUUUUUAAGUCUGAUGUGAAAGCCCACGGCUCAACCGUGGGGGGUCAUUGGAAACUGGAAAACUUGAGUGCAGAAGAGGAAAGUGGAAUUCCAUGUGUAGCGGUGAAAUGCGCAGAGAUAUGGAGGAACAACAGUGGCGAAGGCGACUUUCUGGUGUGUAACUGACGCUGAUGUGCGAAAGCGUGGGGAUCAAACAGG